AAAUUGAAGAGUUUGAUCAUGGCUCAGAUUGAACGCUGGCGGCAGGCCUAACACAUGCAAGUCGAACGGUAACAGGAAGCAGCUUGCUGCUUUGCUGACGAGUGGCGGACGGGUGAGUAAUGUCUGGGAAACUGCCUGAUGGAGGGGGAUAACUACUGGAAACGGUGGCUAAUACCGCAUAACGUCGCAAGACCAAAGAGGGGGACCUUCGGGCCUCUUGCCAUCAGAUGUGCCCAGAUGGGAUUAGCUUGUUGGUGAGGUAACGGCUCACCAAGGCGACGAUCCCUAGCUGGUCUGAGAGGAUGACCAGCCACACUGGAACUGAGACACGGUCCAGACUCCUACGGGAGGCAGCAGUGGGGAAUAUUGCACAAUGGGCGCAAGCCUGAUGCAGCCAUGCCGCGUGUAUGAAGAAGGCCUUCGGGUUGUAAAGUACUUUCAGCGGGGAGGAAGGUGUUGUGGUUAAUAACCGCAGCAAUUGACGUUACCCGCAGAAGAAGCACCGGCU
rnacentral:rRNA from 2 species